rnacentral:rRNA from 1 species
AGUUACCGCGGGUACGCUUUGCCUGCUAUCUCUUACCCAUGUCUUUUAAGUACCUUACGUUUCCUCGGCGGGUCCGCCCGCCGAUUGGACAAUUUAAACCAUUUGCAGUUGCAAUCAGCGUCUGAAAAAACUUAAUAGUUACAACUUUCAACAACGGAUCUCUUGGUUCUGGCAUCGAUGAAGAACGCAGCGAAAUGCGAUAAGUAGUGUGAAUUGCAGAAUUCAGUGAAUCAUCGAAUCUUUGAACGCACAUUGCGCCCCUUGGUAUUCCAUGGGGCAUGCCUGUUCGAGCGUCAUUUGUACCUUCAAGCUCUGCUUGGUGUUGGGUGUUUGUCUCGCCUCUGCGUGUAGACUCGCCUCAAAACAAUUGGCAGCCGGCGUAUUGAUUUCGGAGCGCAGUACAUCUCGCGCUUUGCACUCAUAACGACGACGUCCAAAAGUACAUUUUUACACUCUUGACCUCGGAUCAGGUAGGGAUACCCGCUGAACUUAAGCAUAUCAAAAGGC